UCGUCACACUAUCAUUAACUGAAUCCAUAGGUUAAUGAGGCGAACCGGGGGAACUGAAACAUCUAAGUACCCCGAGGAAAAGAAAUCAACCGAGAUUCCCCCAGUAGCGGCGAGCGAACGGGGAGGAGCCCAGAGCCUGAAUCAGCAUGUGUGUUAGUGGAAGCGUCUGGAAAGGCGCGCGAUACAGGGUGACAGCCCCGUACACAAAAGCGCAUGUGCUGUGAGCUCGAUGAGUAGGGCGGGACACGUGGUAUCCUGUCUGAAUAUGGGGGGACCAUCCUCCAAGGCUAAAUACUCCUGACUGACCGAUAGUGAACCAGUACCGUGAGGGAAAGGCGAAAAGAACCCCGGCGAGGGGAGUGAAAAAGAACCUGAAACCGUGUACGUACAAGCAGUGGGAGCACAGGUUUACCUGUGUGACUGCGUACCUUUUGUAUAAUGGGUCAGCGACUUAUAUUCUGUAGCAAGGUUAACCGUAUAGGGGAGCCGGAGGGAAACCGAGUCUUAACCGGGCGUUAAGUUGCAGGGUAUAGACCCGAAACCCGGUGAUCUAGCCAUGGGCAGGUUGAAGGUUGGGUAACACUAACUGGAGGACCGAACCGACUAAUGUUGAAAAAUUAGCGGAUGACCUGUGGCUGGGGGUGAAAGGCCAAUCAAACCGGGAGAUAGCUGGUUCUCCCCGAAAGCUAUUUAGGUAGCGCCUCGUGAAUUCAUCUCCGGGGGUAGAGCACUGUUUCGGCUAGGGGGCCAUCCCGGCUUACCAACCCGAUGCAAACUGCGAAUACCGGAGAAUGUUAUCACGGGAGACACACGGCGGGUGCUAACGUCCGUCGUGAAGAGGGAAACAACCCAGACCGCCAGCUAAGGUCCCAAAGUCAUGGUUAAGUGGGAAACGAUGUGGGAAGGCCCAGACAGCCAGGAUGUUGGCUUAGAAGCAGCCAUCAUUUAAAGAAAGCGUAAUAGCUCACUGGUCGAGUCGGCCUGCGCGGAAGAUGUAACGGGGCUAAACCAUGCACCGAAGCUGCGGCAGCGA
rnacentral:rRNA from 3 species